UGGGGAAUAUUGCACAAUGGGCGCAAGCCUGAUGCAGCCAUGCCGCGUGUAUGAAGAAGGCCUUCGGGUUGUAAAGUACUUUUAGCGGGGAGGAAGGGAGUAAAGUUAAUACCUUUGCUCAUUGACGUUACCCGCAGAAGAAGCACCGGCUAACUCCGUGCCAGCAGCCGCGGUAAUACGGAGGGUGCAAGCGUUAAUCGGAAUUACUGGGCGUAAAGCGCACGCAGGCGGUUUGGUAAGUCAGAUGUGAAAUCCUCGGGCUUAAACUGGGAACUUGAUCUGAUACUGGCAAGCUUGAGUCUCGGAGAGGGGGGGAGAAAUCCAGGUGGAGCGGUGAAAUGCGGUGAGAAUGGGAGGAAUACCGGUGGCGAAGGCGGCCCCCUGGACGAAGACUGACGCUCCGGUGCGAAAGCGUGGGGAGCAAACAGG
rnacentral:rRNA from 1 species